UCUUUUCUCUGUUCUCUUCUCUCUCUCUCUCUCUCCUGCCUGUCAGUUCUAAUAAAUUCAGUCAACCUUUCCUGAGUCCCUCAUAUGACCACAGCACCAAUGCUAACAUGGAUUGAGCCUUUACUGUCUGCCAGGCACAAGGCUCUUCCUUUGUAGCAUCAUCUCACUUAAUCAUCAAAGCCAUGACAAAAGGCAGGAACUAUCCCUGCUCCCAUUUUACAGAUAAGGAAACUGAGGCAUAGAGAGGCCAAGUAAAUUGCCCAAGAUCACAGACCCAGUAACAGCAGGGCAGGGAUUCAAACCAUGUGUUCUGGCUCCUUACCCUCCAAGUCUACGGCCCACGGCCCCCUCCGAGGCCUGCACUGGGCUCAAGGGGCACCAUCCUGAAGGAGGAAUUCACAUGCAGUGCGGGAGGCAGAGCCACAAACAAGUGCAAGCACCUGGCAGACUGGAAUACACAAGAGCAUCCCCUCUGGGCCCCCACUGUGCAGGAGGCUGCAGGGCUGGAAGUGGAGGAACUGUUACCAGAAGGUGGUCCAAGCAGGCUGCAUUUGGAAAGGUGGAAAGGUGAGGGAGAAGUCCAGGCAGAAGGCACAGCCCAAGGGUGUGAGCAGGUUCAGGCAGGAAAAGAUUCACAGGCCAGACCAGGGUGAGGCAGGCGCAGCACUGGCGUGGCCCUGAGAGGAAACCCUUGCACAAAUUUUGCACCUUGACGCCAGACAUGUUGGCUCAUGUCUGUAAUCCCAGCACUUUAGGAGGCCGAGGGGGAAGGAUCGCUUGAGGCCAGGAGUUUGAGACCAGCCUGGCCAACAUGGCAAAAUGCUGUCUCUACUAAAAAUUAAAAAAAAUUAGCCAGGCGUGGUGGUGCACAUCUGUAUUCCCAGCUACUGGGGAGGGUGAGGUAGGAGAAUCACUUGAACCUGGGAGGCGGAAGUUGCAGUGAGCUGAGAUCACGCCACUGCACUCCAGCCUGGGUGACAGAUCGAGAUUCCAUGUAAAAAAAAUUUUUUUGCACCUUGGGCACCUUGCUCGCCUCACUCAUGCUCAUGUGGCAAUCGAAUGAGUGGCAGUUUAAUGAGGAAUGGCGAGGAAGGUGCGGGGCUGGGCUCAGGAGUGCUGAGAGGGAGAGUGUGGUCCUCAGGCUGAAAAGCAAAAGCCAUCUCCAUGGCUGCCCAGAGGAGGAUGCAGUUUCCAGAGCUGUGAAGGGGGACCCAAAGGCCAGGGCAGGAGCUAGGACCCCGUGAGAAGGGGGCCAAGGACACGUACCCUCACUUUAUCCUCCUGCCACUGUCCAAUCUCCAAUGUUUCCAUGGCAAACCCAAUGGGAAACAAACAGAGCCCACUGAUGCCUCCUGUCAGGGGCAGAGUAGUGGCCUGGAAAGAUGUUCAUGGACAAAUCCCUGAAACCUGUGAACACGGCGCCUUCCAUGGCAAAGGUGCAGAUGAGAUCAAAUUAAGAUGGGGAGAUUAUUUGGGGAUUAUCAGGAUGAGCCCAAUGUAAUCACAGUCAUUAAAGAAGGAGGCAGGAGGCAGAGCCAGAGAAAGGAGAGAUGGUGACAGGUCCAGAGGGUGGGAGGGAAUCGGAGGGUGCUGGCUUUGAAGACGGGCUUAGAGGCCCCGAGCUAAGCAAUGUGGCAGCCUCUGGAAGCUGGCAAAGGCGAGGAAACUGAUUCUCCCCAGAGCUUCCAGGAAGAACCAGCCCUGCCUGCACUUUCAUACUUUGACUGUAGCCCGGUGAGGCUGAUUUUGAACUUCUGACCUCCAGAACCGUAAGAGAAUAGAAACAUAAGAGAAUAAAUGUGUGCUAUUUUAAGCCACUGAGUUUGUGAUGUUUUUUUUUUUUUCUUUUUUAGUAGCCACACUUCUCCAUCCAUGGAUGUCGGCCCCCUAGGCCGAAGAGCAGAGAGAGAAGCGCAGACGGAGGAACCCACCACGCAAGCAGGCAGGCAGCAAGUUCACUUUCACGUUCUUCUCAGGUUCAUUUCUAUGUUCUGCAAUCAAUGUAUAAGGAAGGUGGGUGCAGCCAACACUGCGUGUGCCCACUCUGCUUUGGGCACCAUGCCAGGCCUGCACACUAUUUGGUUGCAUCUCUACAACAGUCUUGCAAAGUAUUAGCAUUCCCACUUUUCAGAUGGGGAAAAUGGGGUUCAGAGAUGUUUAGAAAAAUUAAAUGCCCAACUUCACAGAGUUAGUAAGUGAUAGAGGAAGCAUUAGAACAUAAGACUUCCAAUUCCAAGUUUAGUGUUCUUCCCUAAAAGACAGAGUGGGGGUGGAAGGAGUGUUCUUCCCUAAAAGGCAGGGAGGGAGGAAAGGAGGGAAGAAGAUAACCUAAGUAUGUUACAUUAACUAGUUUGUCCCUGCUACACAUUGUGUUCAGUAUUUGUUGGAUGGAUGGAUGGACAUGUGGGUGGAUGAAUGGAUGAAUAUGUGGGCGGGUGGAUGGAUGGAUGAAUAUGUGGGUGAGUGGAUGGAUGGGUGAAUGGAUUAAUAUGUGGGUGGAUGGAUGAAUGAAUAUGUGGGUGGGUGGGUGGGUGGGUGGAUGUAUGGAUAGAUGGAUGAAUAUGUGGGUGAAUGGAUGGAUGAAUGAAUAUGUGGGUAGAUGGAUGGAUGGGUGGGUGGUUGGAUGGAUGAAUAUGCAGGUAGAUGGAUGGAUGGAUGAUUGGAUGGAUAAAUAUGUGGGUGGGUGGAUGGAUGGAUGAAUAUUUGGAUGGAUGGAUGAAUGGAUGGAUGAAUUUGUGGGUGGAUGGGCGGGUGAGUGGAUGGAUGAAUGGAUGGAUGGAUGAAUAUGUGAGUGGAUGGAUGGAUGGAUAUGUGGGUGGAUGGGUGAAUGGAUGAAUAUGUGGAUGGAUGGAUGGAUGGAUGGAUGAAUAUGUGGGUGGGUGGACGGAUGAAUGGAUGGAUGAAUAUGUGGAUGGAUGGAUGGAUGGAUGGAUGAAUAUGUGGGUAGAUGGAUGGAUGAAUAUGUGGGUGGGUGGAUGCAUGGAUGGAUGAAUGGAUGGAUGGAUGGAUGAAUAUGUGAGUGGAUGGAUGGAUAUGUAGAUGGAUGGAUGGAUGGAUGGAUGGAUGGAUGGAUAUGUGGGUGGAUGGGUGAAUGGAUGAAUAUGUGGAUGGACGGAUGGAUGGAUGGAUGGAUGGAUGGAUGGAUGAAUAUGUGGGUGGGUAGAUGGAUGAAUGGAUGGGUGAAUGGAUGAAUAUGUGGAUGGAUGGAUGGAUGGAUGGAUGAAUAUGUGGGUGGGUGGAUGGAUGGAUGGAUGGGUGAAUAUGUGGAUGGACGGAUGGAUGGAUGGAUGAAUAUGUGGGUGGAUGGAUGGAUGAAUAUGUGGGUGGGUGGAUGCAUGGAUGGAUGGAUGGAUGGAUGGAUGGAUGGAUGAAUAUGUGAGUGGAUGGAUGGAUGAAUAUGUAGAUGGAUGGAUGCAUAGAUGGAUGGAUGGAUGGAUGGAUGGAUGGAUGGAUAUGUGGAUGGAUGGAUGAAUAUGUGGAUGGAUGGAUGAAUAUGUGGAUGGAUGGAUGGAUGGAUGAAUAUGUGGGUGGGUGGAUGGAUGGAUGGAUGAAUGGAUGGAUAAAUAUGUGGGUGGGUGAGUGGAUGGAUGGAUGGAUGGAUAGAUGGACGGAUGAACGGAUGAAUAGGUGAGUGGGUGGAUGGACGGAUGAAUAUGUGGGUGGGUGGGUGGGUGGGUGGAUGAAUAUGUGGGUGGGUGGGUGGAUGGAUGGAUAUGCAUGUGGGUGGAUGGAUGAAUGGAUGGAAGUCAGACAAGCAGCAGUUCCCAGGCUAAGAGCAGGGUUAUUUACACAUACCCCUUUGGCAUCUGUCUGAAAGGUAGGGAUGGGGUUUCCUAAGAGACAAUGGUCCGUGCCUGGGUCCUUCUGCCUGGAAGAUCUUUACCCUUUCCCUUCCUUGCCCUCGCUUGGUGAAUAGGGAGAUGAAGAGGACAAGGGGAAACGACAGGCCAAACAUUACCACUAACUUGCUGUGUGUCCUGGGACUAGUCACUCCCCUUCUCCUCUGGGCCUGUCUCCCUCACUAAAAUGUGAAAAAAUAGGACUAGAUUGACACUUUCCAACCUGGCUGGUAUCAGAAUCCUCUGGGAAGCUUGUGAAAAUGCAGAUGCCCAGGCCUCAGACCCAUUAAACCAGCAUCAGUUUUUAACAGGCUACCCAGGUGACUCUCACAAUUGGUCAGAUUUGGAGAUAAGGGACUAAAAGGUCCCCAGGGCCUCAGUUGUGACACCCCGACUCAUGGCUAGGUAUGGCCCUUUCUGUAACCCGUCUUCUUUCCCUCUUUCAUCUCCUCUCUGAUAGUCAGGAACCUUUCAGUUACAAGGUCAGGAGCCCGACCCACCCUAACUGAAAGGAAAUCUAUUUGCAGACAUACAAAGAAAUUCACAAAGCAGAACUGCCUUCAGGCUUAGCUGGAUCCAGGGGUUCAAAGAUUCUCAAGGCUGUCAUUCCAUCUCUCAGCUGUUUCCUCAGUGUAUCAGUUUCAUUCCCACGUAGGCUCUGUCUACAUGGCAUGAUGAUGGCUGCUGGCCCACCCAACUCUUGUUAUGCCACCCCACAAUCCUGUAGAAAGUGAGAGAACCUCUCUCUUUUGGUGUCCAUGAAUCAAAUCUCAAAGACUGAUUGGCCCAGCCUGAGUCACCUGCCCACCAGGAGCCAAUCCUUAGGCCAGGGGAUGGGGCAUUCUGAUUGGCCAGUCCAGUCACAUGACCAAAGAAACCCAGUAUGUUCGGGGCACUGCCCAUUCCCUAGGCCUAAGCCCUGGUCAAUUCCCAGCCAUGGGCACUUCCUGUAAGGGGGAGGGGAGGAGAGCCCAGCAUCCUCCUGGGGCUGUUCUGCAUGCAGGUGUCAACUGAUCACCUGCCCAGAAGUCAGAAGUUUGUGGCUGUGUUCAGAGAAAUUUCUGGAGGAUCCAGGCCAAUGGCCUCCUCAUGUCCUCUGAAGGAGGUGGCCCUAGUGACGCGAGGCUGAGUCUUGGGACCCCUCUCCAUCUGGCUUUGUGAAGUCACCCUUCCAUCCUCAUCUGCGAACUGACUCUCCCCCUGGCAAAGCUUGGGUUUCUAGGCCCACAGAUAAACGUCUUUUCUACCCACCCCAUAAUCCCAAGGGCACUUUGCCAGCCCCUUCUCAUUUGUUUGUGAAGGUCGGGUGGGGAUAUGAUUACAGCCAGGCUGCCUUCCUAGGACAGGGUCCUGACCCAGAAUGGCCUGUGGCCCUGCCCCAAUGGGUUUGGACAUGGGAAGGUGAUGCAGGGGCAGAAAGCCAGGGCUGGGGAGAGCUGAGCAGCUCUGCACAAGAGUGAAGGGGGGAAUUGAGGGGGAGAGGGCACGAAGCCAGGGAGAUGGAAAAAGGCCAGAAGCCCCGGCCCAUGAGAUGUGCAGGGUGCAGUGGGCGCUGGCAAAGGAGUAGAAACAGCAGGGCCCCCUCAUAGAAAACGUGAAGCCCCCAGGUGCCCCUUCUGCCCAGCUUUCAAUAAAGCCUUGCACAUAAGAGAGGGCUUUGGUGGAAACUGAGGAAGGGGCUGAACUCCAAGCCUGGAUGCUGUCACAUGUAACAGCGUGUGGAGGUAGUGGCGAGGCCUGGAAGCUGCGGAAGGUCAGAGAAGCAGGAGCAUGAAGCCUCUGGGGCCCAUGCGGUCUGUGGGUGGGGAGGCUGUUAAGAGCUGGAUCCAGGCCGGGGAGGGCAGGGGUCCCAAACACCAUCUUGGACCCAUCGGGGCUAGCCAUUUUCCCUCCAUUUUCUUUUUUUCUUUUUUUUUUUUUUUUUUUGAGACUGAGUUUUGCUCUUGUUGCCCAGGCUGGAGUGCAGUGGUGCGAUCUCAGUUCACAACCUCUGCUUCCCAGGUUCAAGCGAUUCUCCUGCCUCAGCCUCCCGAGUAGCUGGGAUUACAGGCAUGCACCACCAUGCCCAGCUAAUUUUUGUAUUGUUAGUAGAGAUGGGGUUUCUCCAUGUUGAUCAGGCUGGUCUUGAACUCCCGACCUCAGGUGAUCCGCCCGCCUCGGCCUCCCAAAGUGCUGGGAUUACAGGCGUGAGCCACCGCGCCCGGCCAUUUCCUUCCAUUUUCAUUCAACUGGGGGAAGCACAGCAAAAAAUACCCUCUCCUUUUCCCUCUCAAGCAGACAUGCCCGAGAGGUUGCCCAGCAGGCCUGCAGCAGAUGCAGGACUAGAACCCAGGCCUCCGCCUCCAAG
rnacentral:lncRNA from 1 species